GUCGAUUUACCCAUUUUGGAAUUGAGUUCCCAGUCAGCUUGUAGCACAUAUCCUCAGAGAAAUGAUUGCAGUUUUUAACUAUCAAAUGAUACAUAUCACCAUUGUAGUUUGCAGACAGACGUUCCAUGAACUCUCUAAUCUGAAAUGGAUCUAAGGAUGUUGUCCCCAUGAAUAUUGACUUCCUAAACUUGAAACCAGGACACUGUCGAGGUUCAACCUCAAAGACACCACUUGAUGGAUAGUCAUGGGCUCCAAAGGCAUAUUCUACACCGUGAACUGUUAGAAUCCACAACCACAAGGACAAUCAGCAAAGCUUUUGCAUCAUCCUGAGAUAUCAUGAUCUAGGAAAAUAACAAGGAUGCAUAGCAGAAUGUGCGUAUUUAAAUAUUCUAGAAUGAUUUUUUUUUUAUUUGCUUGCAUAAUUAAACCAGAUUCUAAGUCCUAGACUCCUAGUUGUAAACAUGCAUCUAAAUGUGCACAUGUGCACUUGUAUAUAUAUUUAUGCUAAUAAUAAUCAUGAAAACAGAAGAACCUGGGUAUCCAAAAGAACAAAAUCAAAAGGAAUGUGGGACAGCAAGGAUGCCAUACUUUUGGCAAGGAUCAAGGUUUUAGUAAAAUAUAUCAAUACUUGGUUUUCUUCAACAUGCCACAUCUAAUGAGUCACCCAAACUAUUGAAUUUCUUUUUUUUACCUCUCAAAUGCAUUCAGCAACUUUUCUCCCAAAUAAUUAGAAAAAUGAUCAAUUGGAGUUGAAUGAAAAAGGCUCUCAUUUCAUUAUCGACAAUAAUAAUCACCAACUCAAAAGUGCCAUUCAUGGACGACCAUAUGAUUUUUUAAAUGGAAACCCCAUGAGAACGUAGAGCAUCAGAUAAUUCAUAACCUUGGAACCAUCUAUUCAAACAAAACAGUGACAGCGCUGUAUUCAUGACCAAGAGCAAUUUAGUAUAAAUCUAACCUUCCACCCCAGAGUGAAAGACUCCAAAACCUGCCCAGUAGACAUAGCCAUUAAUGGUUGUCAAGUCAUACACAUUGAGGUAGACAGGUGAGUUGCCUGGGCUAUAGCCUGCAGACUUAACUUUGGGGAAAAUGCAAAAGCUGGUGGUUGAUUUGCCCCUGAAAUGAAGAGGCAUAAAGGAGUGCCACACAUUCUUUGUUCCCAUUUUCAUGUUUAAGGGUGAAAGCAGGAAAAGUCUGCCUAGUUCUGAUCACAAAAUGUGCAAGACAAGUCAAGAGAUGCAACAGUGAAGACUAGUAGCCAAAGCCAUCAAAGGACAAAAUUGGAAUCAAAGCCACAUUGUAAUUUUAAAAACCAAGGAACCCAUGUGGAGAACUGAGAAUCAAAGACACCAACUUCCCUUGCUAAAGGAAGCCUCCCAAGACAAAUUGCAGCAUAAAGUCAAAGCCAUUGAACAAACAGCAACAAGAGCUCAGACAGCUUGUUGCAGAGAAUUCUCAUGAAACAAUGCAGCAGAGGAAGGUAUGCUACCAUAAAAACGACAUUUUUUAAGUUUUCAAGGCUAAGGGAGUUGGUCCUGAUAGUGAAGAAUGUGUGGGUGUGCCUGAAACCCACACAUUGUUCCUUCUUGUCCUUCCUACUGACAAAAAUGAAAGCUGGAGAAACACAGAAACUACGGUCCUUUCUUAGAAGUCCAAUGAGGAAAGACAAGAAUCAAUAAAGAAAUGGGAACAAAUUAUAUAUAAUUAUUAAAUUUACGGGUAAAGGAAAAAGAAGAUUGGACUAAUUGAUUGUUGACUGACUUGCUUUUGGAAGUUGGACUAAAAAU
rnacentral:misc_RNA from 1 species